AUGGCCAAAUAUUUCUGGAGUAGUUCUCUUGACAAAAGAUCAUUGCAUUGGGUGUCUUGGAAGGAGCUUGCAAUGCCCAAGUGCAAAGGCGGUAUGGGUUUCAGAGACCCACACAUAUUCAAUCUUGCCAUGUCGGGGAAGCAUGGAUGGCGUUUUCCCACGAACCCUAACUCCCUUUGUGCAAGAGUAUUGAAGGGACAGUACUUUCCUGACACGGAUUUUAUGCAUGCAGCCUUACCCAAGUUGGCUUCGGCCACUUGGAAAGCUAUUAUAGCAGGAAGAGAAGCCCUUCGAACCGGCUUGAUCUCCCAUGUUGGAGAUGGCGCUACUAUUGAUGUAUGGAAUGAUAAAUGGAUUCCAGGUACUAUAUCUAUGUCACCUAUCUCAAGACCACCGAACACUGCUGUCCAAAGGGUGGAAGAUCUCAUUGAUACAUCAAACUGGACUUGGAAGCAUGAGGUGGUCCGGGAGACUUUCAUUGCCCCGGAUGCUGAGGACAUUCUUAAUAUUCCUAUUCGGCAAGGGGGGUGA
rnacentral:rRNA from 1 species